AUACUAUAUGAAACUUACUGGAGAUAGGUAAUGCACAACCGUCAAGAGUGUAAGGAAAUAUAGUAUAAUCCACGUGGUAGAUGCAGUUGUAGGUUCCAACUGGUGCACAUCUUAUUAGAGACAGCAACCAAGCUCGAAGUAAGCAGAGCGAAGAUAGAAAGCUAUACCUCGAUAGGCUUAAUGAGGUGCUUAACAGUCUGACACUAACUGAACAAUAAGUGUCU
rnacentral:ncRNA from 1 species